rnacentral:rRNA from 1 species
UACAGAGACUGCAAGCGUUAUUCGGAUUCACUGGGCGUAAAGGGUGCGCAGGCGGCCAAGUGUGUGAGGCGUGAAAGCCCGGGGCUUAACCCCGGAAUUGCACCUCAAACUACAUGGCUAGAGCAUUGGAGAGGGUAGCAGAAUUCAUGGUGUAGCAGUGAAAUGCGUAGGUAUCAUGAGGAAUACCAGAGGCGAAGGCGGCUACCUGGACAAUUGCUGACGCUCAGGCACGAAAGCGUGGGGAGCAAACGGG